AGUGACAACAUUGCGGGACGACAUGAGGUCAAACCAGUGGUCCAUCUUAUCCAAAAACCAUGCCGUUGUAAGGCUCUAGGACACCUCUGGACAAAUUGGGUGCCAGCUUAAGUGCCAUGCCCUCUUGGAAGGACACCAGAUCAUUUAAAGGGGCAACAGAGACCUCACUGGACGGCAGCUGCUCCUUUUCCACCACAUCCUGAGGUCACCCCAAAGGACUUCCACAUUGCUCUAUUGGGGCUCCCCAUGUCUGUGGUGAUGUUAAGCACAUGAAGCCCUACAGAUGCUGCCGCUUCAACAAUGCUGACU